rnacentral:snoRNA from 1 species
AACCAAAGUGUUGAGUUCAGUUCAGGGUCUUGUCCCUGUUCUGGUAAUUAAGCUUUGGGACAGAAAUGACUGAGAAGUGCACCCUGGUGACUGAAAGCUUGCUUUAUGCCACCUGUGUUUCUCAGCCUACAAAC